UUUCACUUCGCUCUUUGACUGCCUCUCACCGACCUCAAGGCCUCAGAGAUUCGAAGUUGAUUUCGAACUCUGCAACGGCUAUUGAUGAGCGAGAUGGAGCUCCGUCGGGAAAGUUCGGGACAAGCGUUGGAGUUGAAUCGUGGAAAACGUUCGUGGAGUUUGGAAGAUUCUGAUAGCAAUGCACUAAUCUUGCCUGAAAAGAAAAGGAACAAAAAGAAAGGCGUUGAUAAGGAAUGCAAAAGAAUUAGAAUGGAUAAGAAUCCCAAGCUGAGCAAAGCUCAGAAAAGGAAGUUGAAGAAGUUAGAGGAGGAAAAGGAAAAAGCACUUUGGCUGUCAAAAAGCAUUGAGACCUUGGAGAAGUACAAGCUUCCGGAGGACGCAUUUCAUCUUCUGCUAUCUUCACGAGAUAUUGGUCGUGCUGAAACCAUGAAGGAAAAACAUAGGAGGGCUGUGCACUUUUCUAAGGCAGGAUUAGAAGUUCCAGAUUGGGACAAACCUUUUGAAAGAAAGGGUGGUGAUUCUGCCACUGGUGGAACUGAACUUGAGGGGGACGGAAUUUCUUUAAGGCAGGAUUUCAACGAGGAUGAUUCAUUGCAACCAAUGAUACUUAGAGGAGAAGCCCCGAAGAUUCUGUCUAAAACAGACAAGAUUCCUUCAAGGAAGGAUUUCAACAAGGAUGAUUUAUUCCAACCAAUGAUACUGGAAAGAGAAUCCCAGAAUUAUGAAUCUGUUCCUUUGGACUCUUCUCAAGGGGCAGUUCGGUGCAUUGAAAACAGUGGAUCAGAUAAGGCAGAUGUGAGCCAAAAGGUUGAUUACAGCGGGAAAUUUAACACACAGGGUUGUCCUGCUCAAGAACCUUUAUCUAUCCCAACUGUCGUGCAUGUAUCUAGGCCGAAUGAGAUUCAGAACACUAGGAAGGAUCUUCCAAUAGUCAUGAUGGAGCAGGAGAUAAUGGAAGCUAUAAAUGAUCAUUCAGCUGUGAUCAUAUGUGGAGAGACUGGGUGUGGUAAAACUACUCAAGUUCCUCAGUUUCUUUAUGAAGCUGGCUUUGGUUCAAGCCAGUCCAGUACUAAAAGAGGGAUUAUCGGUGUUACUCAACCGCGCCGUGUUGCUGUACUUGCCACUGCCAAGCGAGUGGCAUUUGAGCUUGGUUUCCAUCUAGGUCAAGAGGUUGGGUUUCAAGUUAGGUAUGACAAGAGGAUUGGAGAGAGUUGCUCAAUCAAGUUCAUGACUGAUGGAAUUUUACUACGAGAAGUUCAGAAUGAUUUUUUGCUGAAGCGUUAUUCUGUCAUAAUUCUUGAUGAAGCUCACGAGAGAAGCUUGAACACAGACAUACUGAUUGGAAUGCUUUCUCGUAUAAUUAAAAUUCGCCAGGAUGAAUAUGAGAAGCAGCAACAAAUUGUGCGUACAGGACAAAGUGUAAGUCCAGAUGAUGUGAUUUCUCCAUUAAAACUUGUGCUGAUGAGUGCCACCUUGCGAGUGGAAGAUUUUAUUUCUGGGAGAAGGAUAUUUAACGAUCCUCCACCUGUUAUAGAAGUUCCAACUAGACAGUAUCCGGUAACCAUACACUUCUCAAAGAGAACAGAGAUCUUUGAUUAUAUUGGUCAAGCAUAUAAAAAGGUCUUGGCAAUUCACAAGAGGCUGCCACAUGGGGGUAUACUUGUCUUUGUCACUGGCCAGAGGGAAGUAAACCACUUGUGUCGGAAGCUAUCUAAAGCUUCAAAGGAGCUGGUUGUGAAAACAUUAAGGAAGGAUGUUGGAACUGAUGGCACUGGGGUCUCCCAAACAAAAUCUGUUGAAGACAUAAAUAUGAAGGAGAUUAAUGAUGCAUUUGACUUUGAUGGGAAUUCAAUUCACCAGUAUACUGACAGGUUUAGCUCUUAUGAGGAAGAUGAGUGUGAUAUAGAUGAGGAUGACUCAGAUGUUUCUUAUGAUUCGGAAACAGAGAGUGAACUGGAAAUUGAUGAUGAUGUUGAUGGGGACCCAUCCCGUCAGACCACCAAAGAGGAUGAUCGCAAUCUAUUAAAUGUUUUAGGGGAGGAUGGGAGCCUUGCUUCACUAAAAGCUGCUUUUGAAACUUUGGCUGGGAAACCUGCAUUAAACUCUUCUGAUGGUAAACAUGCCCCACUUUCUAGUCCAGAAGGGUGCUUAGACCAAUCCAAUCCAAGCAUAGGGAACAAAAGGGGGGAAAAAGAUCCAAGCCUAGGGAACAAAAGGGGGGAAAAAGGUUUCUGUGCUGGUAUAUUGCGUGUUCUGCCUCUUUAUGCCAAGCUGUCUGCUGCUGACCAGCUUUGUGUUUUUAAAGAAGUACAGGAAGGAGAGAGACUUGUGGUUGUUGCCACUAAUGUGGCUGAAACCUCUAUAACCAUCCCAGGCAUCAAGUAUAUUGUUGAUACUGGGAGAGAAAAGGUGAAGGCCUACAACUCCUCCAAUGGCAUGGAAACAUACCAAGUACAGUGGAUAAGUAAGGCAUCGGCUGCUCAACGUGCAGGAAGAGCUGGAAGAACUGGGCCUGGCCACUGUUAUCGUCUCUACUCUUCUGCAGUUUUUAGUAAUAUACUUCCUGACUUUUCUCUUGCUGAAAUAUCUAAAAUGCCAGUUGAUGGCGUUGUCCUUCUCAUGAAAUCCAUGCGUAUCGAUAAGGUUCAAAACUUUCCAUUUCCAACUCCUCCCAAGAUCACUGCAUUGGUUGAAGCAGAGCAGUGCUUGAAGGCUCUAGAAGCUCUUCAUAGCAAUGGCAAAUUGACACCCUUAGGGAAAGCCAUGGCUCGUUUUCCCAUGAGUCCACGCCACUCCCGGAUGCUCCUUACCGUUAUUCAGACUAUGAGGAUGGUGAAUUGUUAUGCCCGUGCAAAUCUAGUUUUGGGAUAUGCGGUUGCAGCAGCUGCAGCUUUGAGUUUGUCAAAUCCUGUUGUCUUGCAGUUUGAAGGAAGUGAUGUGAAUAAAGAUGACCUAGAGCAUGAUGAGAAAUCUGGUACUCAAGUCGACCGGGAAGUCAUUGGCAAGCAAGAAAAAUUGAGGAGAAAGAAACAGAAAGAAACUGCAAAAAUGUUCCAUGCAAAAUUUUCGAACCCUAACAGCGAUACUCUGACCAUAGCAUAUGCACUGCAGUGUUUUGAACUCUCCGGCAGCCCAGUGGAAUUCUGCAAUGACAAUGCAUUGCACCUGAAAACCAUGGAGGAAAUGUCCAAUCUACGAAGGCAGCUACUUCAACUGAUCUUUGAAAAAGGCCUUUGUGGCACUGAGCAGGAUUUCUCUUGGAUUCAUGGAACUCAAGAUGAAGUAGAACGUGCUUGGAGAGUUUCCUCCAAUAAUCCCCCUCUUUUGCUGAAUGAAGAAGAGCUCUUGGGCCAAGCUAUCUGUGCUGGAUGGGUAGAUAGGGUUGCCAAACGCAUUAGAGGAGCUUCAAGACUGUCAGAAGGAGACACAAAAACACAUGCAGUACGGUAUCAAGCUUGUAUGGUAAAAGAAACUGUGUUCCUCCAUCGUUGGUCAUCUGUUUCUAGUUCGGCCCCUGAGUUCUUGGUUUACAGUGAAUUGCUACAGACAAAACGACCAUACAUGUAUGGUGUGACAAGUGUGAAACCAGAGUGGCUUGUUAAAUAUGCUAGCUCUUUGUGUACCUUCUCCUCAGUCCUUACAGAUCCCAAACCUUAUUAUGAGCCUCAAUCUGACCAAGUAUUCUGUUAUGUCAUUCCUACUUUUGGGCCUCAUUUAUGGGAACUUCCCCUACAUAGUUUGCCAAUCACAAAUGAUAUGCAACGAGUGACAGUUUUCGCUUAUGCUUUGCUUGAAGGAAAAGUGUUACCAUGCUUAGGGUCUGUUCGUAAGUUUAUGUCAGCCCCUCCUAGUAGCAUUUUGAGGCCACAGGCAUCAGGUCAAAAAAGGGUCGGAAAUCUUUUGAACAAGUUAAAGACCAAAUUAAUAGAUAGCUGCUCUAUGUUAAGAGAGGUCUGGAUGGAGAACCCUAACGAGUUGCAUUCAGAAAUUCUGGGCUGGUUUCAAGAGAGUUUCCACAAGCACUUUCAAGUUCUUUGGUCAAAAAUGCAUGGUGAAAUUCUUUUAGAACCUCAAGAACGCUUCCCCAAAAGAGGAAGAGUUAAAAGCAAAAGCAAGAAGUGAUCUUCUUGUGUAAAAAGCUGGACUGCAAGUACUAUAAUUAUUUAAUCUUGUCGCUCUUCGGAUAUCUGAAAGAGCUGGAGCAAGGUCUAAAAUGAGAAAAGGAUAGAAGAUCAGUACAUUAAUGACCUGUUGACUGAAACUUCAUUGCAGUGGGUGAUAUUAGUGAACUCACACAGGGUUUGUAUGGACCCCCCCAUGUAUAGUUUCUCCACGUGUUUGAAACUUUGCAAGCCGCAAAGACUGAGCAUCCUCAAGUGUCCUGUUUCUCUCUAGAUUCACUGAAAAGUGAGAAAGUGAGCAGCGGUUAUAUGUUUAUUCUGUUUCUUUUUAUGUCCUUUAUCCGGUUGAACAUUUCAUGAUGCUAAAGCUCGCACCAAAAAUACCAGUCUUCUCGUCCAACUACUGGUAAAAGAGCACCCAGUGGCAUCUAGCAAUGUUCCAAGCCGGCUUGCUAUAUUUAUUACCUUCUCAUAAUUUUUAUUUUUCUUGUGCACGAGUAAUAUGAUUUUUCUUUUCUAAAAUUUAGUGGUUUCCAUGUUAUUUGUUUC